AGUGAACGCUGGCGGCGUGCCUAACACAUGCAAGUCGCGCGCGAAAGGGUAGCAAUACCUGAGUAAAGCGGCGAACGGGUGAGUAACACGUGGUUAACCUGCCUCGAUGUGGGGGAUACCCCGGGGAAACUCGGGACAAUACCGCAUGAUGUCUCUCGGGCGACGGCCUGGGAGAGCAAAGCUGGGGACCGCAAGGCCUAGCGCAUCGAGAGGGGACCGCGGCCGAUUAGCUAGUUGGCGGGGUAAUGGCCCACCAAGGCGACGAUCGGUAGCCGGC
rnacentral:rRNA from 1 species